UCCUAUCUGUGAACUUGAUAAGCCCGCUCUCUAAACCUUCAUCCAAUUCAUGAGUAAAGAUCUUGAACAGAACUGGGACCAGGAGCAAACCCUGCAGCACUCCACUAGUCACUUCUUUCCAGGAUGAAGCAGACCCAUUGGUGAGCAGCACCCUUUGACUUAACUGAAAGGGAGAUCCCAUGGAUGACAAUCAUCAUCAUCACAAUGUGGUGGUCAUACUAACAUCAUGCACCCAAUGAUACAUCCCCAAUGGGCUUGCUUAGGCUUACUUGUGCCAAGGGGAGUAAUGUCCACCCAGUGACAAUCCCAGGGGCCAAGAGAAACCUUGAAGGUGCCAAAAAAAUCCUUCCCUGCAUAAGAAAUGUUAGCCAUGGGUGUGUGUGUGUGUGUGUGUGAAUGGGGCACUUGUGCAGAGCCUGAUAAAGCAGCCUUGCAGAGCGGCGGCGGUGUGUCUUGCGUUGUCUUCUCUGGUGCAUUUAUCUUGCUGGAAACAGAAUUAUGCUGCUCUUUUUGAAAAGGAGGAGUGGAAAACUAGUCAUUUGUUGCUCUGAAAAACAGGAGAACAAAAGGUGUCUUGCUUGUCUC